UAGUUUACCUGGCAGGGGAAAUACCACCAUCUUUUUGGCCUUGAAUGGCUCAGGGUAGUUAGAAGGUGAAGGCGUGUCCCUUGCACCCCGGGCAGGCUGACCUACAAAUGCUUCCAAAUGCAAGGAUCUUGGCUAUGCAAUUUAUGGCGAUGGGGGAUUGUUCUUGGGCUGUCCCUCU
rnacentral:snRNA from 14 species